rnacentral:tRNA from 1 species
UCUAAUAUGGCAGAUAAGUGUGAUGGAUUUAAGCUCCAUUUAUAAAGAACCCCUUUUGUUAGAA